rnacentral:rRNA from 1 species
GAUGAACGCUAGCUACAGGCUUAACACAUGCAAGUCGAGGGGCAGCAUGAGCUCAGUUAUUCUGGGUUUGAUGGCGACCGGCGCACGGGUGAGUAACGCGUAUCCAACCUGCCCUUUACGCGGGGAUAGCCUUCUGAAAGGAAGUUUAAUACCCGAUGAAUUCGUUUAGUCGCAUGGCUUGAUGAAGAAAGAUUUAUCAGUAAAGGAUGGGGAUGCGUCCCAUUAGCUUGUUGGCGGGGUAACGGCCCACCAAGGCGACGAUGGGUAGCCGACCUGAGAGGGUGAUCGGCCACAUUGGAACUGAGAUACGGUCCAGACUCCUACGGGAGGCAGCAGUGGGGAAUAUUGGGCAAUGGGCGAAAGCCUGACCCAGCAACGCCGCGUGAGGGAAGAAGGGUUUCGGCUCGUAAACCUCUGUCCUAUGGGACGAAGGAAGUGACGGUACCAUAGGAGGAAGCCCCGGCUAACUACGUGCCAGCAGCCGCG